AUAAUUAUUACAUUUAUUAUUGUCAUUUCAACAGUAUAUUAUUAUAAGCUUUUGGCCGUUGGAUGAAAAGAUGUGAGGUUAGGAUGAUAGUGGUCUUCGGUAAGGAUGGUAUUGGUCUCUUAGGGUUGAGUGGUUAGUUGAUUGAAUAGUAUGAUCUAACGGGUAGAAAUGAUCAAAGAGGUAGAUCCAACGGCCGAAAAUUUAUAAGUACAAAGAGGUUUAUACUUAUAAGAGUAUAAUAGUCUGACUCACUUUUUUGAAUUGAUUUUCUUUAUUUUUGUUUCAAUUUCAACGUCAUAAUAAUUUAGGUUGCUGUUGUUCAUAGUAUGUU
rnacentral:lncRNA from 1 species